UGGGGAAUAUUGCACAAUGGGCGCAAGCCUGAUGCAGCCAUGCCGCGUGUGUGAAGAAGGCCUUCGGGUUGUAAAGCACUUUCAGCGAGGAGGAAGGUGGUGAGCUUAAUACGCUCAUCAAUUGACGUUACUCGCAGAAGAAGCACCGGCUAACUCCGUGCCAGCAGCCGCGGUAAUACGGAGGGUGCAAGCGUUAAUCGGAAUUACUGGGCGUAAAGCGCACGCAGGCGGUUUGUUAAGUCAGAUGUGAAAUCCCCGGGCUCAACCUGGGAACUGCAUUUGAAACUGGCAAGCUAGAGUCUCGUAGAGGGGGGUAGAAUUCCAGGUGUAGCGGUGAAAUGCGUAGAGAUCUGGAGGAAUACCGGUGGCGAAGGCGGCCCCCUGGACGAAGACUGACGCUCAGGUGCGAAAGCGUGGGGCAGCAAACAGGAUUAGAUACCCUGGUAGUCCAGCGCUGUAAAACGAUGUCGAUUUGGAGGUUGUGCCCUUGAGGCGUGGCUUCCGGAGCUAACGCGUUAAAUCGACCG
rnacentral:rRNA from 1 species